CAGCUGCAACGGACAGUAUGUGAAUCCAGAUCCAAAUAAUAUCGAAUGUUUAUAUGCUCUUUAUAGUACUAUCAUUCAGUGCACCAAGCUUAUCUAUAUUAAUCAUAUUCUGGAGCCAACGUGCGAAGAAUACAAAAAAACCAAAACAAAGUGGUUCUAGAAGGUUCCUACCACCGGCGGAACUACAUGGGGACCCAGACACAGACUCCCCAUUACAUGGCCUUCCUCCGACUAGUCUCCGCCCCAAGAGCCAGUGAACCCCGCGCCCGAUUUUCUAAAAUUGAAAGUAGUAUCAGGAAGAAGAACACAAGAAUUGGGCGGUGAAGUGGAGAAGAGGCCGAGAGAAGUACGCAAAAAGAGGAAUUAUGGAAAGAAGGAAGAGGAAUGGCGAGACGGUGGGGAAUAAAGAUGAACAGGGGAGUGCAAAAGAUCUGUUUCUUUUUUCUUUUUGGAUAUAUCUCUAGCAUUGGAAGAAAGAAAAAUAUUUGACCGGUCAAAUGGCAUAAAAAUUAGUGAUAAAUAACUAUAUUUACCCUAUUCUCAUACUC